GUCCCUGUAGCGCAACGGAUAGCGCUUUAGACUUCUAAUUUACAGGUCGUGGGUUCGCAUCCCACCUGGGAUG